AAUCCCUGUCUCUCUCCUGUCAUUUUAGGGGUGGAUUCUCAGACUGUGAUCCAGGAGCCGGCGAUGUCAGUGUCUCCUGGAGGGACCGUCACACUCACCUGUGCCUUUAGCUCUGGGUCAGUCACUACUAGUAACUACCCCGGCUGGUACCAGCAGACACCAGGCCAGCCUCCCCGACAGCUGAUCUACCAAACAAACAGCCGCCCGACUGGGGUCCCCAGUCGCUUCUCUGGAGCCAUCUCUGGGAACAAAGCCACCCUCACCAUCACGGGGGCCCAGGCUGAGGACGAGGCCGACUAUUUCUGUGCUCUGGAGAAAAGUAGUGCUAAUAUUUUCGGCGGUGGGACCCAUCUGACCGUCCUCGGUCAGCCCAAGGCCGCUCCCACGGUCAACCUCUUCCCGCCCUCCUCUGAGGAGCUCGGCACCAACAAGGCCACCCUGGUGUGUCUAAUAAGUGACUUCUACCCGGGCGCCGUGACGGUGACCUGGAAGGCAGGCGGCACCACCGUCACCCAGGGCGUGGAGACCACCAAGCCCUCGAAACAGAGCAACAACAAGUACGCGGCCAGCAGCUACCUGGCCCUGUCCGCCAGUGACUGGAAAUCUUCCAGCGGCUUCACCUGCCAGGUCACCCACGAGGGGACCAUUGUGGAGAAGACAGUGACGCCCUCCGAGUGCGCCUAGGUCCCUGGGCCCCCACCCUCAGGGGCCUGGAGCCACAGGACCCCCGCGAGGGUCUCCCCCCGCGACCCUGGUCCAGCCCAGCCCUUCCUCCUGCACCUGUCAACUCCCAAUAAACCGUCCUCCUUGUCAUUCAGAAA